CGAGCGGCGGACGGGUGAGUAAUGCCUAGGAAAUUGCCCUGAUGUGGGGGAUAACCAUUGGAAACGAUGGCUAAUACCGCAUAAUGCCUUCGGGCCAAAGAGGGGGACCUUCGGGCCUCUCGCGUCAGGAUAUGCCUAGGUGGGAUUAGCUAGUUGGUGAGGUAAAGGCUCACCAAGGCGACGAUCCCUAGCUGGUCUGAGAGGAUGAUCACCCACACUGGAACUGAGACACGGUCCAGACUCCUACGGGAGGCAGCAGUGGGGAAUAUUGCACAAUGGGCGCAAGCCUGAUGCACCCAUGCCGCGUGUGUGAAGAAGGCCUUCGGGUUGUAAAGCACUUUCAGUCGUGAGGAAGGCGGUAUAGUUAAUAGCUGUAUUGUUUGACGUUAGCGACAGAAGAAGCACCGGCUAACUCCGUGCCAGCAGCCGCGGUAAUACGGAGGGUGCGAGCGUUAAUCGGAAUUACUGGGCGUAGAGCGCAUGCAGGUGGUUUGUUAAGUCAUAUGUGAAAGCCCGGGGCUCAACCUCGGAAUAGUCUUUGAAACUGGCAGACUAGAGUACUGUAGAGGGGGGUAGAAUUUCGGGUGUAGCGGUUAAAUGCGUAGAGAUCAGAUGGAAUACCGGUGGCGAAAGCGGCCCCCUGGACAGAUACUGACUCUCAGAUGCGAAAGCGUGGGGAGCAAACGCGAUUAGAUACCCUGGUAGUCCACGCCGUAAACGAUGUCUAC
rnacentral:rRNA from 1 species